rnacentral:rRNA from 1 species
AAAUUGAAGAGUUUGAUCAUGGCUCAGAUUGAACGCUGGCGGCAGGCCUAACACAUGCAAGUCGAACGGUAACAGGAAGCAGCUUGCUGCUUCGCUGACGAGUGGCGGACGGGUGAGUAAUGUCUGGGAAACUGCCUGAUGGAGGGGGAUAACUACUGGAAACGGUGGCUAAUACCGCAUAACGUCGCAAGACCAAAGAGGGGGACCUUCGGGCCUCUUACCAUCAGAUGUGCCCAGAUGGGAUUAGC